UGGGGAAUUUUGGACAAUGGGCGAAAGCCUGAUCCAGCAAUGCCGCGUGAGUGAAGAAGGCCUUCGGGUUGUAAAGCUCUUUUGUCAGGGAAGAAACGGUGAGAGCUAAUAUCUCUUGCUAAUGACGGUACCUGAAGAAUAAGCACCGGCUAACUACGUG
rnacentral:rRNA from 1 species